rnacentral:hammerhead_ribozyme from 1 species
AUCCAGCUGAAGAGUCUCAAAUAGGAUUAAACGCUUGUCCUGGAU